rnacentral:rRNA from 1 species
AAUGCAAGUCGAACGAGUUCUGAUUAUUGAAAGGUGCUUGCAUCUUGAUUUAAUUUUGAACGAGUGGCGGACGGGUGAGUAACACGUGGGUAACCUGCCCUUAAGUGGGGGAUAACAUUUGGAAACAGAUGCUAAUACCGCAUAAAUCCAAGAACCGCAUGGUUCUUGGCUGAAAGAUGGCGUAAGCUAUCGCUUUUGGAUGGACCCGCGGCGUAUUAGCUAGUUGGUGAGGUAACGGCUCACCAAGGCAAUGAUACGUAGCCGAACUGAGAGGUUGAUCGGCCACAUUGGGACUGAGACACGGCCCAAACUCCUACGGGAGGCAGCAGUAGGGAAUCUUCCACAAUGGACGCAAGUCUGAUGGAGCAACGCCGCGUGAGUGAAGAAGGCUUUCGGGUCGUAAAACUCUGUUGUUGGAGAAGAAUGGUCGGCAGAGUAACUGUUGUCGGCGUGACGGUAUCCAACCAGAAAGCCACGGCUAACUACGUGCCAGCAGCCGCGGUAAUACGUAGGUGGCAAGCGUUAUCCGGAUUUAUUGGGCGUAAAGCGAGCGCAGGCGGUUUUUUAAGUCUGAUGUGAAAGCCCUCGGCUUAACCGAGGAAGUGCAUCGGAAACUGGGAAACUUGAGUGCAGAAGAGGACAGUGGAACUCCAUGUGUAGCGGUGAAAUGCGUAGAUAUAUGGAAGAACACCAGUGGCGAAGGCGGCUGUCUGGUCUGUAACUGACGCUGAGGCUCGAAAGCAUGGGUAGCGAACAGGAUUAGAUACCCUGGUAGUCCAUGCCGUAAACGAUGAAUGCUAGGUGUUGGAGGGUUUCCGCCCUUCAGUGCCGCAGCUAACGCAUUAAGCAUUCCGCCUGGGGAGUACGACCGCAAGGUUGAAACUCAAAGGAAUUGACGGGGGCCCGCACAAGCGGUGGAGCAUGUGGUUUAAUUCGAAGCAACGCGAAGAACCUUACCAGGUCUUGACAUCUUUUGAUCACCUGAGAGAUCAGGUUUCCCCUUCGGGGGCAAAAUGACAGGUGGUGCAUGGUUGUCGUCAGCUCGUGUCGUGAGAUGUUGGGUUAAGUCCCGCAACGAGCGCAACCCUUAUGACUAGUUGCCAGCAUUUAGUUGGGCACUCUAGUAAGACUGCCGGUGACAAACCGGAGGAAGGUGGGGAUGACGUCAAAUCAUCAUGCCCCUUAUGACCUGGGCUACACACGUGCUACAAUGGAUGGUACAACGAGUUGCGAGACCGCGAGGUCAAGCUAAUCUCUUAAAGCCAUUCUCAGUUCGGACUGUAGGCUGCAACUCGCCUACACGAAGUCGGAAUCGCUAGUAAUCGCGGAUCAGCACGCCGCGGUGAAUACGUUCCCGGGCCUUGUACACACCGCCCGUCACACCAUGAGAGUUUGUAACACCCGAAGCCGGUGGCGUAACCCUUUUAGGGAGC